AGGGAUUGCCUCAGUAACGGCGAGUGAAGCGGCAACAGCUCAAAUUUGAAAUCUGGCCUUCGGGUCCGAAUUGUAAUUUGUAGAGGAAGCUUUUGGUGAGGUACCUUCCGAGUUCCUUGGAACAGGACGCCUUAGAGGGUGAGAGCCCCGUACGGUUGGAUGCUAAACCUUUGUAUAGCUCCUUCGACGAGUCGAGUAGUUUGGGAAUGCUGCUCUAAAUGGGAGGUAAAUUUCUUCUAAAGCUAAAUACCGGCCAGAGACCGAUAGCGCACAAGUAGAGUGAUCGAAAGAUGAAAAGCACUUUGAAAAGAGGGUUAAAUAGUACGUGAAAUUGUUGAAAGGGAAGGGUUUAUGACCAGACCUUUGCCUUGCGGAUCAUCCGGUGUUCUCACCGGUGCACUUCGCUUGGUUUAGGCCAGCAUCGAUUCUGGUAGGGGGAUAAAGGCUUUGGGAAUGUGACUCUUCGGAGUGUUAUAGCCCUUUGCGUAAUACCUUUACUGGGAUCGAGGACCGCGCUUUUGCAAGGAUGCUGGCAUAAUGGUCAUCAACCACCC
rnacentral:rRNA from 1 species